AGUUCGAUUAUGGCUCAGGAUGAACGCUGGCGGCAUGCCUAAUACAUGCAAGUCGAACGGAGUGAAGCCUUCGGGUUUCAUUCAGCGGCGAACGGGUGAGUAAUACGCAGGGAACCUGGCCAUGGCAGGGGGAUACACUCUGGAAACGGAGCAUAAGACCCCAUAGGCAGUAAGGCGGCAUCGCCUUACUGUUAAAGAAAGCUGAAAGGCUUUGGCGAUGGAUGGACCUGCGGUGCAUUAGCUUGUUGGUGAGGCAACGGCUUACCAAGGCGAUGAUGCAUAGCCGGCCUGAGAGGGCGGACGGCCACACUGGGACUGAGACACGGCCCGGACUCCUGCGGGAGGCAGCAGUAGGGAAUUUUCGUCAAUGGGCGCAAGCCUGAACGAGCAAUGCCGCGUGAGUGAGGAAGGUCUUCGGACUGUAAAGCUCUGUUGCCGGGGAAAAAGGGGAAAUGCAGGAAAUGGCAUUUCAUGGAUGGUACCCGGCCAGAAAGCCACGGCUAACUACGUGCCAGCAGCCGCGGUAAUACGUAGGUGGCGAGCGUUAUCCGGAAUGAUUGGGCGUAAAGGGUGCGCAGGCGGUCUGUUAAGUCUGAAGGCAAAGGGAUGAGCUCAACUCAUUUAUGAUUCAGAAACUGGCAGACUUGAGGACAGGAGAGGGCGGUGGAACUCCAUGUGUAGCGGUAAAAUGCGCAGAGAUAUGGAAGAACACCAGUGGCGAAGGCGGCCGCCUGGCCUGUGACUGACGCUGAGGCACGAAAGCGUGGGGAGCAAAUAGGAUUAGAUACCCUAGUAGUCCACGCCGUAAACGAUGAGGAGCAGGUGUUGGGAGUGAAAUCUCAGUGCCGAAGCCAACGCAGUGACUCCUCCGCCUGGGGAGUAUGCACGCAAGUGUGAAACUCAAAGGAAUUGACGGGGGCCCGCACAAGCGGUGGAGUAUGUGGUUUAAUUCGAAGCAACGCGAAGAACCUUACCAGGUUUUGACAUCGGAUGCGAAGGCGCAGAGAUGCGCUGGAGGCUAUCAUCCAGACAGGUGGUGCAUGGUAGUCGUCAGCUCGUGUCGUGAGAUGUUCAGUUAAGUCUGGCAACGAGCGCAACCCCCGUGGUAUGUUACUAACGCAUUUGGGCGAGGACUCAUAUCAGACUGCCGGUGACAAACCGGAGGAAGGCGGGGAUGACGUCAAAUCAUCAUGCCCCUUAUGACCUGGGCUACACACGUACUACAAUGGCGUCUACAGAGGGAAGCGACCCUGAGAAGGGAAGCGAAACCGGAAAAGGGCGUCCCAGUUCGGAUUGAAGUCUGCAACCCGACUUCAUGAAGAUGGAAUCGCUAGUAAUCGCGGAUCAGCAUGCCGCGGUGAAUACGUUCCCGGGCCUUGUACACACCGCCCGUCAAACCAUGGAAGCCGGCAACGCCCGAAGCCGGUGGCAUAACCUUUUAGGAGUGAGCCGUCGAAGGCGGGGCCGAUGACUGGGGUUAAGUCGUAACAAGGUACCC
rnacentral:rRNA from 1 species